GACGAACGCUGGCGGCGUGCUUAACACAUGCAAGUCGAACGGAAAGGCUCCAGCUUGCUGGAGUACUCGAGUGGCGAACGGGUGAGUAACACGUGGGUAAUCUGCCCUGCACUCUGGGAUAAGCCUGGGAAACUGGGUCUAAUACUGGAUAUGACCUUUCUCCUUAUGGGGUUUGGUGGAAAGUUUUUCGGUGUAGGAUGAGCCCGCGGCCUAUCAGCUUGUUGGUGGGGUGAUGGCCGACCAAGGCGACGACGGGUAGCCGGCCUGAGAGGGUGAUCGGCCACAUUGGGACUGAGAUACGGCCCAGACUCCUACGGGAGGCAGCAGUGGGGAAUAUUGCACAAUGGGAGGAAGCCUGAUGCAGCGACGCCGCGUGAGGGAUGACGGCCUUCGGGUUGUAAACCUCUUUCAGCAGGGACGAAGCGUAAGUGACGGUACCUGCAGAAGAAGCACCGGCUAACUAUGUG
rnacentral:rRNA from 1 species